rnacentral:rRNA from 1 species
CACGGGUGAGUAACACGUAUCCAACCUGCCUCAUACUCGGGGAUAGCCUUUCGAAAGAAAGAUUAAUAUCCGAUAGCAUAUAUUUCCCGCAUGGGUUUUAUAUUAAAGAAAUUCGGUAUGAGAUGGGGAUGCGUUCCAUUAGUUUGUUGGGGGGGUAACGGCCCACCAAGACUACGAUGGAUAGGGGUUCUGAGAGGAAGGUCCCCCACAUUGGAACUGAGACACGGUCCAAACUCCUACGGGAGGCAGCAGUGAGGAAUAUUGGUCAAUGGACGCGAGUCUGAACCAGCCAAGUAGCGUGAAGGAUGACUGCCCUAUGGGUUGUAAACUUCUUUUAUAUGGGAAUAAAGUGGUCCACGUGUGGACUUUUGUAUGUACCAUAUGAAUAAGGAUCGGCUAACUCCGUGCCAGCAGCCGCGGUAAUACGGAGGAUCCGAGCGUUAUCCGGAUUUAUUGGGUUUAAAGGGAGCGUAGGCGGAUUGUUAAGUCAGUUGUGAAAGUUUGCGGCUCAACCGUAAAAUUGCAGUUGAUACUGGCAGUCUUGAGUGCAGUAGAGGUGGGCGGAAUUCGUGGUGUAGCGGUGAAAUGCUUAGAUAUCACGAAGAACUCCGAUUGCGAAGGCAGCUCACUGGAGUGUA